AUAUUAACAAAGUCGUCUGUUUCGUCGGGCGUGUUGAGAGGGUACACCCAACUGGAACAGCUUUCGCUGUCACUGAUGGAGAGGGACAACAUGUUCUUGUUGAACUAAAUUUCUCUACCUGGAACUGUACAAUGAAGCUGUAAAGUUCAUCCAUCGCUUCCCUGAGCACUAUCCUUUUAACAUGGCUGCAGGUGG